GGAGAGUGGAGGAGACGACGAGAGACACGACGCGCUGAGGCUCGACUUGUUUUAUUUACGGUAUAAAAACGGAUUGAGCCGUCUACUUAGAGAGAUAUAUUGAUAAUAUUGAAAUAUCUUCUUUCAACCCAAUAAGCCUUCUUUGAAAACAGCAGUGGUCUUCGCUUGGGACGCGUCUGGAGACGUACCGGACCGGCCUCACCAUGUCUGCCGCCGAGCAGAUGCGGGCCAUGCUGGACCAGCUGAUGGGGACCAGCCGAGAUGGGUGUGGCCAGCUAAAAAUGCGUGUUUGCCGCCGUCAGAUGCCGUCAAUCACGCGAGUCGAAACUCAGCGUGCGCUUCACCGACCCGAAGGUCUGCAAGAGCUUCCUGCUGGGCUGCUGUCCCAACGAGAUCCUGGCCUCGACGCGGAUGGACCUGGGCACGUGCUCCAGGAUCCACGACGUGGCGCUGCGGGCCGACUACGAGUCCGCCAUCAAGGAGAAGGACUACUUCUACGACAUCGACGCUAUGGAGCACCUGCAGUCAUUCAUCCAGGACUGUGACCGGAAGACGGAGCUGGCCAAGCGCCGACUGGCCGAGACUCAGGACGAGCUGUCGGCGGAGGUGGCCGCCAAGGCGAACAAGGUGCACGAGCUGGCCGAGCAGAUCGGUAAGAAGCUGGCGCGGGCUGAGGAGCUCGGCGCCGACGGACUCGUCGAGGAGAGCAUGAAACUCAUGGAGGAGGUGGAGGACAUCCGUAAGCAGAAGGCGCUGGCCGAACAGGAGUACCGCAACUCGAUGCCGGCGUCCAGCUACCAGCAGCAGAAGCUGCGUGUCUGCGAGGUGUGUUCGGCCUACCUGGGCAUCCACGACAACGACCGCCGGCUGGCGGACCACUUCGGCGGCAAACUCCAUCUGGGCUUCAUCAAAAUCAGAGAGAACCUCGCCGAACUACGGAAAACCGUGGAGGAGCGGCGGGAGGAGCGCAGGAAGGCGCGCGAGGCCGAGCUGAAUGAGCGACGGCGCGGCUCGCGCGACCGCGACCGGAGUCGGAGCCGGGAGCGGCGGCGCCGCAGCCGCAGCCGGGACUGGGAGCGGGACAGGGACAGGGACCGGGACAGGUCGUCCCGGCGGCGCAGCAGGAGCAGGAGCCGAGACCGAGACCGCGACCGGCGCAGGUACCGCGACCGGUCCAGUGAGCGGCGCAGGGACCGCUCCCGGGACCGAGACCGGGACCGGGACCGUCGCCGGCGGCGGGACAGCAGGGACCGCGACCGCGAGCGAGACCGACGGUCAGAAAGACGAUCGGCCAGUGCGUCUAACGGCCGCGGGGACUCUGCCAGUCGCGACUAAGUACCGACCGCAGUCGCCUGUCCACCCCGGCCGGUCAGUCCCGCCCCUUGCGGCGUCACUGUUCGAUCUGUGUGACCGGUGACGUCACUGUUCAGUCUGUGUGACUGGUGACGUCACCGCUGUCCUGUGUGACGUGUUAGCUGACUGCGCGAACUGUAAUGUGACAUCUAUUGAACUGCCGCCUGAGCAGGUCCGAGCGACGGCGGUGAGCCGGGCCGGCGGACCGGCGGCAGCCGCUCUUUAUCUAUCCGCGACGGGACGGGACGGGCUAGGUGGGUGCCGUGGGGCGGGGCGGGUGUGGGGUAGUCACCGUAUGUGCUGGCCGGCGCGCGUCACUCCGAGUUAUGCCGCGGAUCAUCCUCCCAUUGUCUGAGUCCCGCGACUGGCGCGCUCUCCAAUAAAUCGGUACAGCACG
rnacentral:misc_RNA from 1 species